ACCCCACUUGAAGAGGUGGAGUGCCCAGUGGCGGAUACAGGCCCCACACAUCGCAGCAGUAAACAGGUAAGGCGCUCCCUGGCCCAUGCCUGUUUCCUGGAAACUGAAGCCAUGCCCAGGCUGGGAGUCACCAUUCCAGAAACAGAAUAAGCUGUUGGGCUGGCUACCUCACCCAGCACCCGGCCACGCCAGAGAGAAUCUUGGAUGCUGCUUUCCCACAGGCUGUAGUGCCUUCCAAGUUAGGCCACCCUAAUAACAGUUCUCCCACAGGGACUCCACGGUGUCCAGCUCUCCAGCCUGGGGUUUCUCAUCACCCAGUGAUUCCAAAAGAAACG
rnacentral:lncRNA from 1 species